AAAUUGAAGAGUUUGAUCAUGGCUCAGAUUGAACGCUGGCGGCAGGCCUAACACAUGCAAGUCGAACGGUAACAGGAAGCAGCUUGCUGCUUCGCUGACGAGUGGCGGACGGGUGAGUAAUGUCUGGGAAACUGCCUGAUGGAGGGGGAUAACUACUGGAAACGGUGGCUAAUACCGCAUAACGUCGCAAGACCAAAGAGGGGGACCUUCGGGCCUCUUGCCAUCAGAUGUGCCCAGAUGGGAUUAGCUUGUUGGUGAGGUAACGGCUCACCAAGGCGACGAUCCCUAGCUGGUCUGAGAGGAUGACCAGCCACACUGGAACUGAGACACGGUCCAGACUCCUACGGGAGGCAGCAGUGGGGAAUAUUGCACAAUGGGCGCAAGCCUGAUGCAGCCAUGCCGCGUGUAUGAAGAAGGCCUUCGGGUUGUAAAGUACUUUCAGCGGGGAGGAAGGUGUUGUGGUUAAUAACCGCAGCAAUUGACGUUACCCGCAGAAGAAGCACCGGCUAACUCCGUGCCAGCAGCCGCGGUAAUACGGAGGGUGCAAGCGUUAAUCGGAAUUACUGGGCGUAAAGCGCACGCAGGCGGUCUGUCAAGUCGGAUGUGAAAUCCCCGGGCUCAACCUGGGAACUGCAUUCGAAACUGGCAGGCUUGAGUCUUGUAGAGGGGGGUAGAAUUCCAGGUGUAGCGGUGAAAUGCGUAGAGAUCUGGAGGAAUACCGGUGGCGAAGGCGGCCCCCUGGACAAAGACUGACGCUCAGGUGCGAAAGCGUGGGGAGCAAACAGGAUUAGAUACCCUGGUAGUCCACGCCGUAAACGAUGUCUACUUGGAGGUUGUGCCCUUGAGGCGUGGCUUCCGGAGCUAACGCGUUAAGUAGACCGCCUGGGGAGUACGGCCGCAAGGUUAAAACUCAAAUGAAUUGACGGGGGCCCGCACAAGCGGUGGAGCAUGUGGUUUAAUUCGAUGCAACGCGAAGAACCUUACCUGGUCUUGACAUCCACAGAAGAAUCCAGAGAUGGAUUUGUGCCUUCGGGAACUGUGAGACAGGUGCUGCAUGGCUGUCGUCAGCUCGUGUUGUGAAAUGUUGGGUUAAGUCCCGCAACGAGCGCAACCCUUA
rnacentral:rRNA from 1 species